rnacentral:lncRNA from 1 species
GCAGCAACAUCACCAUCAUACAGGGACUAAGAACCCUAAUGGAAAAACAUCGCAUUUACAGGGCCAUAAAGGCCAAGAAUGGGCCACACGUCUUCUUCUAAAUUCUAAACUCUAAAGUCAUCCAAAAACAGAUCGGUUUUAAUAAACAAGUAACAGCAUCUCAGAAAUACUUUCCCCGUUGUUUUCUUCAUUAUGAAUCAAAGUGCAAGGAUGACGAAGUCUGAUUAUCAUCAUCGAUGCUAAUUCCAAUCCCACAUAAACAUCUAUAAACUAAAUUGUUCAGAUAUAAAAACAAUUUAAUGAAACCAGGAUAUAGAAGAAUCGUGAAUGCAACUCGUAUAAAAACACAAAAUGGAUCUAAGGAUAUUCAAUUAAUCAUUACGUAGAGGGAAAUAAAAUACGGGAGAUAUUAUAUAAAUGAAGGAUCUCAGGAAGUUUAAACUAUCAUCAGAUCCGAUUAAGGAAUUUACAGAUAGAUAACGCAGUUUCUUCAUAAGCAUCAUCGAUCCAACACUUGAAUAUUUAAUCCACAUAACAUUUAAUAAAUUUGUAAUAAAACGAAAGACAAGUAAAGAAAACAUGACAGAUUAAGAUCAACAUCAAGUAGCAUACGAUCAGCACCACCAUUAUAUGGGGACUAUGAACCCUAAUGGAAAAACAAUGCAUUUACAGGCUGUAACGGGACAGAAUGGGCCGCGCGUCUUCUUCUCCUAAAUUCUAAACUCUAAAGGCAUCCAAAAACAGAUCAGUUUUAAUAAACAAGUAAAUAAAUUGAUAUAUAUUUGGCAACGUAAAUGUAGAAGAAGAAAAAGCAUCUCUGAAAUACUUUCCCCGUUGUUUUCUUCAUUAUAAAUCAAAGUGCAAGGAUGACGAAGUCUGAUUAUCAUCAUUGAUGCUAAUUCCAAUCCCACAUAAACAUCUAAAAACUAAAUUUGUCAGAUAUAAAAGCAAUUUAAUCAAACCACGAUAUAGAAGAAUCGUGAAUACAACUCGUAUAAAAACACAAAAUGGGUCCGAGGAAAAUCAACUAAUCAUUACAUAGAGGGAAAUAAAAUACGUGAUACAUAUUAUAAAAAUGAAGGAUUUCAGGAAAUUUAAACUAUCAUCAGAUCCGAUUAAGGAAUUUGCAGAUAGAUAACGCAGUUUCUUAUUAAGCAUAACCCAGUUUCUUAUUAAGCAUAACGCAGUUUCUUAUUAAGCAUCAUCGAUCCAGCGCUUGGAAAAUUUUAUCAACAUAACAUUUAAAAAAUUUGUAACAAAACAAAAAACAAGUAAAGAAAACAGGAUAGAUUGAGAUCAACAUCAAGUAGCAUACGAUCGACUUAAGAACGGAUCCUGAUGAUUUUUUUUUGAUAGAUUUAAAACGCAAGUUGUAUACUUAUUUGAGCACCAACAUCACCAUUAUACGGGGACUAUGAACCUUAAUGGAAAAGACCAAAACCAUGAACCCUAAUGGAAAAGACCAGAAUGGGCCGCCCUUCUUCUUCUAAAUUCUAAACUCUAAAGUCAUCCAAAAACAGAUCGGUUUUAAUAAUAAUAAUAAUAAUAACUAGAAAAAAUCCGUCGCGCCGUUGGCGCAGGGUCGAAAAAAUAGUCUAAAUGGCAAUGUACUUUUCUUGAUUUUUUUGCAUUCACCUUCAAAAUAGAUCAGACAAUUUAAAUUUUUUUUGAACUUUCUGGAUUGGUUCCAAACUAAAUCAGAAUAUUCUAAUAAAACAAACUUAAUUUACAAUUUCAGUAAAAUGUAGACGAAAAAUCAUUUUUUUAAUGUCAAAAGAAUCCGCUAGAAACCAAACCUGUUUCAUAUAAUAAUUCCACAACCUUCUUCGCCUCAGUCACUUCUUUCUGCUGCGGUUUUACAUGCAGCCUGCAAGCAACAUUAACACACACAUAUGGAGACGAGAGGGAUACCCGCGGCGAGCAGGGAAGGGAUGGCGAGACAACAGAAGCAGCAGCGAUGGAAGAGAAC